CAGUCGCCGCGGUAAUACGAAGGGUGCAAGCGUUAAUCGGAAUUACUGGGCGUAAAGCGUGCGUAGGCGGUGAGUUAAGUCUGCUGUGAAAUCCCCGGGCUCAACCUGGGAAUGGCAGUGGAUACUGGCUCGCUAGAGUGUGUCAGAGGAUGGUGGAAUUCCCGGUGUAGCGGUGAAAUGCGUAGAGAUCGGGAGGAACAUCAGUGGCGAAGGCGGCCAUCUGGGACAACACUGACGCUGAGGCACGAAAGCGUGGGGAGCAAACAGGAUUAGAUACCCGCGUAGUCCCUGUCUCUUAUAU
rnacentral:rRNA from 1 species